GCCUGAAUGGCCAAGUGGUAAGGCACUGCACUUGUACGACGUGGUCCCUAUGGAACCAGACUUCGGCAAUGCAGCGAUCGUUCGUUCGAUCCGGACUUUAGGCA